rnacentral:snoRNA from 1 species
GGUGCAGUGCUCUCUUCUGAGCGUGAAGCUGGCUCUAGGUGUCGUUUCCACAACUGGCUGUUUCCAUUGAUGAUCGUUCUUCUCCUCCUUUGCCGAGAGUAAGGGGAGAAGGACACAGUCUGA